GUACCUUCAAGCUUUGCUUGGUGAUGGGUGUUUGUCCUGCCCUCUGCGGCUGGACUCGCCUUAAAAUUAUUGGCAGCCGGCAUAUUGGCCUUUGGAGCGCAGCACAUUUUGCGAUCUAAGCCGUUAUACUGGUACCCAUAAAGCGUACUUUCUCAC
rnacentral:misc_RNA from 1 species